rfam:Gossypium hirsutum cultivar TM-1 unplaced genomic scaffold scaffold72.1, whole genome shotgun sequence
UGUUUGAAUUUAUCCAUUUCUAAUGCUAAAAACUAGUAUGACUAAUAGAAUAAUAAAAAAAUUACACGUAAAGUGCUAUGUGUACCUCAUUUUGCUGUGCAAGGACCAAUUUUUAUCAGCAGAAAUAGAUGAAACUUUUAUCA